rnacentral:rRNA from 1 species
AUUGAACGCUGGCGGCAGGCCUAACACAUGCAAGUCGAACGGUAACAGGAAGCAGCUUGCUGCUUUGCUGACGAGUGGCGGACGGGUGAGUAAUGUCUGGGAAACUGCCUGAUGGAGGGGGAUAACUACUGGAAACGGUAGCUAAUACCGCAUAACGUCGCAAGACCAAAGAGGGGGACCUUAGGGCCUCUUGCCAUCGGAUGUGCCCAGAUGGGAUUAGCUAGUAGGUGGGGUAACGGCUCACCUAGGCGACGAUCCCUAGCUGGUCUGAGAGGAUGACCAGCCACACUGGAACUGAGACACGGUCCAGACUCCUACGGUAGGAAGCAGUGGAGAAUAUUGCACAAUGGGCGCAAGCCUGAUGCAGCCAUGCCGCGUGUAUGAAGAAGGCCUUCGGGUUGUAAAGUACUUUCAGCGGGGAGGAAGGGAGUAAAGUUAAUACCUGUGCUCAUUGACGUUACCCGCAGAAGAAGCACCGGCUAACUCCGUG